rnacentral:rRNA from 1 species
UACGAAGGGGGCUAGCGUUGUUCGGAUUUACUGGGCGUAAAGCGCACGUAGGCGGCUUGGUCAGUUAGGGGUGAAAUCCUGGAGCUCAACUCCAGAACUGCCUUUAAUACUGCCAGUCUCGAGUCCGGAAGAGGUAAGUGGAACUCCUAGUGUAGAGGUGGAAUUCGUAGAUAUUAGGAAGAACACCAGUGGCGAAGGCGGCUUACUGGACCGGUACUGACGCUGAGACGCGAAAGCGUGGGGAGCAAACAGG